UACGUAGGUGGCGAGCGUUAUCCGGAAUUAUUGGGCGUAAAGGGUGCGUAGGCGGCACACUAAGUCUAAGGUUAAAGUUCGAGGCUCAACUUCGGAUUGCCUUAGAAACUGGUGAGCUAGAGUGCAGGAGAGGGCAAUGGAAUUCCAUGUGUAGCGGUAAAAUGCGUAGAUAUAUGGAGGAACACCAGUGGCGAAGGCGGUUGCCUGGCCUGUAACUGACGCUGAGGCACGAAAGCGUGGGGAGCAAAUAGG
rnacentral:rRNA from 1 species